UGGGGAAUCUUGGACAAUGGGGGCAACCCUGAUCCAGCCAUGCCGCGUGAGUGAAGAAGGCCCUAGGGUUGUAAAGCUCUUUUGGCGGGGACGAUAAUGGCGGUACCCGCAGAAUAAGCCCCGGCUAACUUCGUGCCAGCAGCCGCGGUAAUACGAAGGGGGCUAGCGUUGUUCGGAAUUACUGGGCGUAAAGCGCACGCAGGCGGAUUAGUAAGUUAGAGGUGAAAUCCCGGGGCUCAACCUCGGAAUUGCCUUUGAUACUGCCAGUCUUGAGUCCGGGAGAGGUGAGUGGAAUUCCUAGUGUAGAGGUGAAAUUCGUAGAUAUUAGGAAGAACACCAGUGGCGAAGGCGGCUCACUGGCCCGGAACUGACGCUCAUGUGCGAAAGCGUGGGGAGCAAACAGGAUUAGAUACCCCUGUAGUCC
rnacentral:rRNA from 1 species